UACGGGGGGAGCAAGCGUUGUUCGGAUUUACUGGGCGUAAAGGGCGCGUAGGCGGUCAGCACAAGUCAGUUGUGAAAUCUCCGGGCUUAACUCGGAAAGGUCAACUGAUACUGUGCGACUAGAGUGCAGAAGGGGCAACUGGAAUUCUCGGUGUAGCGGUGAAAUGCGUAGAUAUCGAGAGGAACACCUGCGGCGAAGGCGACUUCCUGGCCUGUUCUUGACGCUGAGGCGCGAAAGCUAGGGUAGCAAACGGG
rnacentral:rRNA from 1 species